UACGUAGGGUGCAAGCGUUAAUCGGAAUUACUGGGCGUAAAGCGUGCGCAGGCGUUUGUUAGUCAGAUGUGAAAUCCCCGGGCUUAACCUGGGAACUGCGUUUGAAACUACAAGGCUAGAGUGUGGCAGAGGGGGGGUGGAAUUCCACGUGUAGCAGUGAAAUGCGUAGAGAUGUGGAGGAACACCUGUGGCGAAGGCGCCUUGCUGGCCGAUUUCUGACGCUGAGGCGCGAAAGCGUGGGGAGCAAACAGG
rnacentral:rRNA from 1 species